rnacentral:rRNA from 1 species
AACGAACGCUGGCGGCAGGCUUAACACAUGCAAGUCGAACGAGAUCUUCGGAUCUAGUGGCAGACGGGUGAGGAACACGUGGGAACAUCCCUUUCAGUUCGGAAUAACGUUGGGAAACUAACGCUAAUACCGGAUACGUCCUUCGGGAGAAAGAUUUAUCGCUGAAAGAUUGGCCCGCGUCUGAUUAGCUAGGUGGUGAGGUAAUGGCUCACCAAGGCUACGAUCAGUAGCUGAUCUGAGAGGAUGAUCAGCCACAUUGGGACUGAGACACGGCCCAAACUCCUACGGGAGGCAGCAGUGGGGAAUAUUGGACAAUGGGCGCAAGCCUGAUCCAGCCAUGCCGCGUGAGUGAUGACGGCCUUCGGGUUGUAAAGCUCUUUUGUCCGGGAAGAUAAUGACUGUACCGGAAGAAUAAGCCCCGGCAAACUUCGUGCCAGCAGCCGCUGUAA